UUUGCUGAAACACUUCUGGGAACUCAGGGGUUUUAGGAGGCGUGAGCCGCCCGUCUCCCUGCUUGGCCUUGCAGUAAACCUUUCUCCACUCCAAACUCUGACUUCUUGGUUUUGGCCUCAACUUGCACUAACACAGUGUUAAGUAACCAGAGCCUCACUAUCAACUUGCUGGAAUCUCUGAGCAAGGGCUGAGUUAUCUCCAGAAGGCACUCACACCCCAGUGUAUCUUCCCAAAUAUUCACACACAGCAAGAAGGAAGAAAGGUGUCUACAAAACAGUCCAGUAAUGUUCCUAGUGAGAGUCUGACGCCCCACAGCACACCUCAUCAGGAGAAACCUUUUUUCCCCAGGAUGGAACACUUCAGAGGCAAGGAGAGGUGUUCUAAUUCUCAAAUCCCAGCCUUGAAUACCCUGGGAGGGCUGGGCAUGGUGGGGCAGAGCUGUUGGGCUCUGAGGUAGAAGCUCCCUGUGGCUCAGGCCAAGUUCAAAUUCAGAGACCAGCAGGGAGGUCAGGUCCGGCCUCUAAGACACGCACAUUAACUGACACACACCCUUUCCCAGAAAUUCCUGAAUCCACACCAGGCAAAUAUCAAAGCCGAAAAGCCACACAUUCUCGGCAGGCUGAGAUAGAUGGUGGAACAAGAAGUCCAUCACAGAAAACCACACUUGCUCACCAUGUACUUCUGAUAGUUCACCCCUAACUUCAGGCAUUUCGUUUCUUCACACUUGAACACUCGAUCAAGUGGCUUAAGUCUGCAGUGAGUAACAGGUCCUGUUUGCGCAAGACUGUCCCAGUUUUAAGACUGAAAGUCCUGGGUCCCUGUUACCCCUUCAGUCCCAGGUAACAGGGACAGCUGGUCACUCUACUUUAGUCCAGUGGGCAUCUGACUGAAGCCAGAUUUGAGGCCCUCAAAAGGCACACACCAGACUCAUGACAGGCAAAAGCAAUCAAUACUGUUAGAAGGUGGGAGAAUGCUGAUUUGCAGAAAGGACUAACAACUGAAAAAGGGACUAGGGGUGUCCCAGCGGAUGACCAAAUUUUAAUUCUUUGUCUGGUAUGGGUGGCCUGGAGGUUCCUUUUGCAAAGAUGCUGUGAACUGCUCCAUGUGACACAUAUAUCUCCUUGUACAGAUAACCCACUUCAAUACAGAGAAAGUCAGAGAGAGGAGACAGGUUUGCAGCAGAGUCCUGAAGGAUUUCCUAUAAAGUUUUCAUUAUACUCCAAUCCUGAGACAGUUAUGAACUAAAUUUUGUCCCCUCAAAUUCAUAGUUUGAAGCAUUAACUCCCAAUGUCACUGUAUUAGGAGAUAAGGUUUUAAAAGCAGGUUAGAGUUAAAUGAGGUCAUAAGGGUGAGGCCCUAAUUCGAUCAGAACUGGUCCUUAGCCGAAGACUAACAGACACCAGGGCUCUCUCCAUGUGUUUGCACUGAGGAAAGGCCAUGUGAGGACACGGCAUGAAAGCAGCCGUCUCACCAAUGCCAAAGCUGCGCCUUAAUCUAGGACUUCAGCCUCCAGAACCGUGGGAAAGCAAUGUCUGCAGUCUAACCCACCCAACCUGAGGUCCUUUGUCUUGGCAGCCAAAAAGACUAUGAGGAGACCUAUCUUAAAUAUACCAUAAAAAGUCUCCCUCCCUCCCGGUCCCCUCACUGAGGUCACUGUCAUGGCCAGUCACCCCAGGCAUCCCUUUAGAGAUACUCUGUGCAAGUACAAAGGGUGACGUACUGCACCUGCUGUUCUGCCCCAGCCACCACGAUUUUCACUCUCCUUGGUGAAAUAACUCCAUAUUAUCAAUAAUGAGGGGAAAAAAGUCCUCCUUAAUCUUGCUACUAGAGACAGAACAUAUUAUUUAAUGGAUGAAUCAUCAUUUAUUAAGCCAGUCCCAUAUUAAUGGACAUUUUGUUUAUUUCCAAUAUUCCCAUUUCAUGUUUCCAUGCAGAACUUUUUAAAGGAAUAUUUAUUUGUUUUUUUGGCUCCACCAGAUCCCAGCUGCAGCACGUCACAUCCUUGAUCCACAUUGUGGCACCCAGGAUCUUUUUUAGCUGCAGCUUUCGAGCUCCCAUUUUUGGCAUGUGAGACCUAGUUCCCUGACCAGGGAUUGAACCCAGGCCCCCUGCAUUGGGACUGCAGAGUUUUAGCCACUGGACCACCAGGAAAGUCCCUGAAGAAUUUUUAUUUAUGUCAGUUUAUAUGCACAUGAGUACACCUGAGAAAUCUCUGGGAGUAAACUUACGAGGCCCCUUGGUCAGAUGUAUUAGUAAGUUGAGUAGACGUCCCACCGGUGCCCUCCACGGACAUUAGAUGGCAGUGCGGUCUCAUGUCCUCACCCCACAGUGUGCUGUGUCACGCUAAGUUUACAACAUGAGAUGGAAAGUGACAUCUCAAGAUUGUGAGCAAGCUCAUCUUCUAGUUUUUUACUCAUUUCAACAAGAUAAAGCGAAGCCCAAAAGACUGGUCAAGGAACGACAGCAGCACAAUCUUGCUGAGAGAGGAUGGAAGGCAUCUGAGUGGCCCACAGAGGCCACUCUGUACAACUAUUGUACAGAACCUUCAUUUGUCAUCAGAAUUUUGCAGCUCAAAGGCCAUCUAGGUUUGACAAUAUAAAUCAGGCAAAAAUGUGUGUCCUCGGUAAACGUCACAUGGCCCAUGAAAAUAUGUGAGUUAUUUUCUAAUACCUUUUGAUAUUGAUGGCUAACAUAAUUCCACAGUGAUAAGGGAACAGACUCUAUGAUUUCAAUACCUUUAGACCAUGAAUUUUUUGUGUCUUGUUUUUUUCCCCUGGAUAUGUUCUAGUGUUUCCUAGUUUAUGGGAUUGUGAAUAGAAUUUGUAUACUGCUGUUGUGUGAAAAUUGUAUAAAUCUUAAUGAUGUUGAAUUGGUUCAUGGUGCUUUUCAGCUCUACCAUAUCCUUCUACUUCUGUGUAUAUUCAUUAUAUUAAUUUUUGAGGGUUUGAUAUUGAAACUCCAACUAAAAAUCUUAAUUUAUAUACUUACAAAAUAAUUGUAAUACAUAGUGGAGCUAUAUGUAACUUUGUUCUGUGUUUCCAAGUCUCCUGUAAAUGUGUUAUUAUACUUUCAUAAUUUUAAAAAGAAAGAGAAAAAAAAAAUGUGUCCUCAGAGGUGAGGCACCACCUGCCAAGGCCCAGCUCUUGAGAAGGCAGUCCCAUGCUUCCUCAUCUGCCACCCAACACAGAGACCCUCUGCCUCUCUGCUUUGGUCCAACAUGACUUCAUCAAGAGGAAAUCGGGCCCAAAGUGAUCUGCCAGGCCACAAAGGCAGGAAUAAUAUAUUUCAUUUUUACUUUAUUCUUGCCUGAAGAAUUCCAUGGACAGAGGAGCCUGGUGGGAUACAGUCCAUGGGGUCACAGGGUCAGACAUGACUGAGUGACUAACACUUUCACUUUCAAAAUCCUGUAUAGCGAGUGCAGGCCAGUAUAGACCACUGUAGACCAGUAAAGACCAAUAUAGACCCAUGCAGAUUAUAGAGACAAUGCAGAUUAGUAAAGUCCAGUAUAGACUAGUGUAGACCAGGACAGGCUUCUGCAGCUUCUCAGUGGCUGUGACUCUUUCCACAGGCUAUAUAGACCAGCACAGCCUGCUUAACCACUCAGCCUUCACAAACACCCAAUUAGUGCCAGGUACCAGUCAAUCCUAAAGGAAAU